ACGGGAGGCAGCAGUGGGGAAUAUUGGACAAUGGGGGAAACCCUGAUGCAGCAACGCUGCGUGAGUGAUGAAGUAUUUCGGUAUGUAAAGCUCUAUCAGCAGGGAAGAUAAUGACGGUACCUGACUAAGAAGCUCCGGCUAAAUACGUGCCAGCAGCCGCGGUAAUACGUAUGGAGCAAGCGUUAUCCGGAUUUACUGGGUGUAAAGGGUGCGUAGGCGGUAUGGCAAGUCAGAUGUGAAAGACCGGGGCUCAACUCCGGGGCUGCAUUUGAAACUGCCAGACUGGAGUGCAGGAGAGGCAGGCGGAAUUCCUAGUGUAGCGGUGAAAUGCGUAGAUAUUAGGAGGAACACCAGUGGCGAAGGCGGCCUGCUGGACUGUUACUGACGCUGAGGCACGAAAGCGUGGGGAGCAAACAGGAUUAGAUACCCUGGUA
rnacentral:rRNA from 1 species